rnacentral:rRNA from 1 species
GCAAGUCUGGUGCCAGCAGCCGCGGUAAUUCCAGCUCCAAUAGCGUAUAUUAAAGUUGUUGCAGUUAAAAAGCUCGUAGUUGAAUUUCGAGAUCAGUACGCUGGUCGUGCCUUCGGUAUGCACUGGUGUCACUGGUUUCUCCCUUCUGAAGAACCGUCAUGCCAUUCAGUUGGUGUGGCGGGGAAUCAGGACUGUUACUUUGAAAAAAUUAGAGUGUUUAAAGCAGGCUCGCGCUUGAAUACAUUAGCAUGGAAUAAUGAAAUAGGACGUUUGACCCUAUUUUGUUGGUUUCUAGGAUCGACGUAAUGAUUAAUAGGGAUAGUUGGGGGCAUUAGUAUUCAAUUGUCAGAGGUGAAAUUCUUGGAUUUAUUGAAGACUAACUACUGCGAAAGCAUUUGCCAAGGAUGUUUUCAUUAAUCAAGAACGAAAGUUAGGGGAUCGAAGACGAUCAGAUACCGUCGUAGUCUUAACCAUAAACUAUGCCGACUAGGGAUCGGAUGAUGUUAAUUUUUUAAUGACUCAUUCGGCGCCUUACGGGAAAC